AUGCCGUGAUAAGGGCAUCUACGUAGUAACACCUUGAAACUUUCCCAUGCCUCAUAUAAGGACACAUCAUCCAAUUGUUGAAAAGUGGUGAUCUCAUUUCACAACUU
rnacentral:snoRNA from 1 species